UACGUAGGGUGCAAGCGUUGUCCGGAAUUAUUGGGCGUAAAGAGCUUGUAGGCGGUUUGUCGCGUCUGCUGUGAAAUUUCGGGGCUCAACCCCGAACUUGCAGUGGGUACGGGCAGACUAGAGUGUGGUAGGGGAGACUGGAAUUCCUGGUGUAGCGGUGAAAUGCGCAGAUAUCAGGAGGAACACCGAUGGCGAAGGCGGCAUCCUGGACCGAUAUUGGCGCUGAGUGAGCGAAAGCCAGGGGAGCAAACGGG
rnacentral:rRNA from 1 species